GCCUGGGGAGGGUUAAACCCGCCUCAGAAAGCGGAGCCGGCCGCGGCUGGAGGUCGGUGCAACCGCCCGCUCGCCCCGGGGCCCGGCCCGCUCUCCCCGCCCCGGCCCAGGCGGUAGGGACCGCCCGAACGGUGAUGCCGCCCGCGCGGAACCGUAGUGGUGGGGGAGCGGCGGCAGGGAAGGGGCAGCGAACGGCCCCGGCGGGGCGCCAAGCGGCUGCUGCAAUAGUUGAAGGAAGCGUUGGGAAAGAGGCUGAACGGGUAAAGGAACCUCAAAACUUGGAGAGUACUUCUUACAUGAAUUUCCACAGAAAAAAAGGCACCAGGUCAGCAUGAGCUUGCUCAGGCCGUUACGCAGACCUAGAAAAUGAGUUGCUCAAAAGUGUAGACACUCCCUGACCUUCUGUUUUGCUGGUUAGUGAUCAGGACAACCUUCACAGCUAUAUAAUAUAAUACUGUUGAACUUUUGUCUGCAGCCCUUGAUUUGUAGCCAUUCCGUUACAUGAGAUCAAACAAAAAGUUCUUGGGCCAAUUUGCAGGGCUUACAUUGUAUAAAUAUUUUUUUCUAUA